ACAGGUGGGAGAGAUUCUCCCCAGCGCAACCCUCACUUAAUUUUCCAACCUCUGUCCCUGGCAGCUCAAAGGGACUUCCUUUCCUGGAAGUUCCAGAAUCUAAAGUCGCCAGCCCCCAGGUCCAGAAUACGCCCGGCUGUCACAAACAAGAGAGACGGGAACUGGUGUGAUUGGUACCACAUUGUCUACGCUCCCUGUCAUCCUUCACCAAAUUAGAUAGGCUCAUUGUUGAAGCCCUACUAAGGAAGACCUAAACAUGUCACACUAGAAUAGUUUGUGUGUUUUCCAAAAUUUUUCUGAAAACAGAAACUAUGGAAUACAAGGAAUCUCUUGAAUUCCUGAGUAGCCCAAACCCUGCUUGCUACCUAGCUCCCCAGACCCCCAUACCUCAUGCCUCCUCCCCACCCACAGACAUAUAUGCAUGACUCUGCAUCCCUGUCCCAUGUGUUUGGGGAGAAAGCAAGAUCAGGGGACCAGCCUGGCACUGGCAGAGUCCAUGUCACACACAACACUGCUGUGCCAUAUGGAGCCACCUGGGGCCCUGCCGUGCCUCUCACCAGACCAGCACUAGGUGGCCUUGGGACAGUCACCCAACCCCUCAGAAUCCCUGAUUCUUUAUUUUCCAAUUCAGUUUGGAAGACUUUUUACUAUAGAGUUUUCUGACCUAUCUAAAAAUAAAUAGACUAAUAGCGAAGUGGAUCCCUAGGUACUUAUCACUCAGCUUCAACAGUUAAUAUUUUGCCAAUGUGUCAGCUAAUCCCGUGUCAGUUUUUUUUUUUGCUAGCAUGUAAUAAAGUAAAUACUAGAUGUUAUGUCAUCUCACCCACUAAAUAUAAUAACCUCUUUUUUUAAGAAGACAAUAUUUUAGAGCAGUUUUAGGUUUAUAACAGAACAGAGAGAGGUACGGAGACUUCCCAUACACCCCCUGCCCCAACACACGUGCAGUCUCCCCCUUAUCAAUAUCAUUCAUCAGAACAAUUCCUUUUUUUUUUUUUUGCCAAGGAUCAAUCUACAUUUA